GAGAGAGUCGGGAGACUAGAUUUAAUAGAAGGGAAUGCUUCUUUUUUUUAUUUUUUUAAUUUUUUAUUCAAAGUUAUUUUGGUCAUUUCAAAAAUUUAUAAUGACGUGGUAAGUGAUCAAGUUAAGUUUAACAGAUUAUCUAACGGUAUGGGUUAGAAUGUAGGGUUGACUAAAAUGUUAAGGGUGUGAUUGUAGGUUUUAGAAACUACUGGGUGUACCUAUAAUUUUGACCUAUUCUCAGGGGG
rnacentral:lncRNA from 1 species